CAACCCUCAAGCUAAGCUUGGUAUUGGGUGUCACUGUCUGGUGCACCUUAAAAUCAGUGGCGGUCUCAUCUGGCUUCUAGUGUAGUAAUAUUUCUCGCUAUGGAGUUUUGGUGUGUGGUUGCCAAUCAACCCCUAUUUUACA
rnacentral:misc_RNA from 1 species